UUUGCCCUCAAGCCAAUCUGCAGCACCAAGACACGCACGUGCAAUGCCCUGAAGGUGAAAAGUGUAAUUUUACAGUUACCAGGCACAUUAACCCAGGACAGGAAAUCAUCCAGAAAGCUCAAAGCAGGAAACUUAAAGGAGGAAAAAACAAAAGAUGAAAAGAGACUUUUUUUUUUUUAAGAAAAAAAUGCUGAAUGAUGUGUCAGGACCUGCACCCUCCUUCCGCAAACCAAACGCCAACGUCAGUCCAGGAGAAUAAUGCAUGAGAACUACAGUGAAAUGAAGAAAAAAGAGAGAACAAGAGCGUGAGAGAAAGUGCACGGGACUGCAGGAGGAGGAGGAUGUGUAUCAUUUCGUUACCAGCAAAACAAACACGAUGCCAUCGGAGUGAUGGGAUUGUUGUGACCAUGAAAGAAACACUCCAGCACACCGCGGGGUCACGUGUUGAUGCUGGCACCGAAAACUGGACUGUGCAUGCUACCAGGGUGACUGCUGCAGGCUCUGCCUUCCUCAGGAGGGAUUGAUGGGACCCAAGGACAGCUCUGCGGGGUUUGUUGAGAUUCCUGCUGCCUACAGGGAUAUCGGGGAGAUGCACCUGGUUUAUACCUUGGAUCCAGUAUGUACAACCUGAAAAGUGGCAAUAUUUGCCAGGUUGGAGGGCAAGCGGAGAUAAGAUCACAAACAACAGGCCAGGUUAUCACACACAUCCCUGGUUAGCUUAGCUGGAAAAUGAGAUCCACAAGGGUUCAGUUACCAACCUGUUUGACCUCCACUCAUCAUAGGAUCACAGAACAGGUUGGGUGGGAAGGGACCUUUACAGCUCAUCUAGUCCAGCCCGUUGCUGUGAGCAGGGACACCUUCAGGUCAAUCAGGUCGCUCAGAGCCCGUCCAGCCUCACCUGGGAUGUGCCCAGGGAUGGGGCAUCGACCACCUCUCGGGGCAACCUGGGCCAGUGUCUCACCACCCGCAGCGUAAAACAUUUCUCCCUUCGAUCCAGUCUGAAUCUGCCCUCCUUUAGUUUCAAACCAUCCCCCCUUGGCCUGUCACAGCAGGCCUUGCUAAAGAGGUCGCCCCCACCCUUCCUACAGCCCCCCUUUAAGCCCUGGGAGGCCGCAAUAAGGUCUCCCCGCAGCCUUCUCUUCCCCGGGCUGAACCACCCCAGCUCUCCCAGCCCAGCCUCGCAGCAGAGGGGCUCCAGCCCUCGGAGCAUUUCUGUGCCCCCUCUGGCCCCGCUCCAACAGCCCCGUGUCUGUCCCGCGCUGAGGAGCCCCGAGCUGGAGGCGGUGCUGCAGGGGGGUCUCCCAGAGCGGGGCAGGGGGGCAGCACCCCCUCCCUCGCCCUGCUGCCCGCGCUGCUGGGGAUGCAGCCCCGGGCACGGGUGGGGGUCUGGGCUGCGAGCGCACGUUGCCGGCUCGUGUCCAGCUUUUCACCCCCAGCACCCCCAAGCCCUUCUCGGCAGGGCUGCCCUCCAUCCCCCCAUCCCCCAGCCUGUGUGGGUACCGGGGUGGCCCCGGCCCAGGGGCAGGACCCUGCACUUGGCCUUGUUGGACCUCAAGAGGUUCACACAGGCCUGCUCCUCGAGCUCAUUGCAGCUGACAACUGCAACCUUUGUAUGGGAAUCAACGCAUUCAGAGCAUAAAGUCACAAAUGGGACCAGCACACCUUGGUUCUUCUCCUCCUCCAUCCUGAUCUGACGUACAAACUCAGGGAAGUCUCACAACUUACCCCAAGCCUCUUUGUAUCCCUCUCUGUGGUGAUAUUUCAGGAGUUUAAGUGGUUCUGUCUGUCGCAUCACCAUUUCUUUUUACUUCAGCUGUAAGAAAGGCAUAAAAGGGCAUUAAUAUUAAACUGCUCCAUGCUU